GAUGAACGCUGGCGGCGUGCCUAAUACAUGCAAGUCGAGCGAACGGACGAGAAGCCUGCUUCUCUGAUGUUAGCGGCGGACGGGUGAGUAACACGUGGAUAACCUACCUAUAAGACUGGGAUAACUUCGGGAAACCGGAGCUAAUACCGGAUAAUAUUUUGAACCGCAUGGUUCAAAAGUGAAAGACGGUCUUGCUGUCACUUAUAGAUGGAUCCGCGCUGCAUUAGCUAGUUGGUAAGGUAACGGCUUACCAAGGCAACGAUGCAUAGCCGACCUGAGAGGGUGAUCGGCCACACUGGAACUGAGACACGGUCCAGACUCCUACGGGAGGCAGCAGUAGGGAAUCCUCCGCAAUGGGCGAAAGCCUGACGGAGCAACGCCGCGUGAGUGAUGAAGGUCUUCGGAUCGUAAAACUCUGUUAUUAGGGAAGAACAUAUGUGUAAGUAACUGUGCACAUCUUGACGGUACCUAAUCAGAAAGCCACGGCUAACUACGUG
rnacentral:rRNA from 1 species